UACGAAGGGGGCUAGCGUUGCUCGGAAUGACUGGGCGUAAAGGGCGCGUAGGCGGUUCGUACAGUCGGGUGUGAAAUUCCUGGGCUUAACCUGGGGACUGCAUUCGCUACGUGCGGGCUUGAGUGUGGAAGAGGGUUGUGGAAUUCCCAGUGUAGAGGUGAAAUUCGUAGAUAUUGGGAAGAACACCGGUGGCGAAGGCGGCAACCUGGUCCAUGACUGACGCUGAUGCGCGAAAGCGUGGGGAGCAAACAGG
rnacentral:rRNA from 1 species